GAUUGGUCCUCCAGGGCUUCAGGGAACGCAAGGGUUCCCAGGAGAGGGUCUACCAGGGCCUAAGGAUGACAUGGGUUCAAGGUUCAAAGGUGACAAGGGUGACCAGGGCUUCCCAGGGCAGCACGGACCACAGGGAGAGAGAGGAGUCGUGGAGCCAGGGACAAAGGGUGAACCAGGACCUGACAGAUCCUCUGGGAUACCUGGUAUACUUGGGGAAGAUGGAGCGUUCGAACCUAAGG